rnacentral:misc_RNA from 1 species
GAUGAAGAACGCAGCGAAAUGCGAUAAGUAAUGUGAAUUGCAGAAUUCAGUGAAUCAUCGAAUCUUUGAACGCACAUUGCGCCCGCCAGCAUUCUGGCGGGCAUGCCAGUUCGAGCGUCAUUUCAACCCUCGAGCCCCCCCGGGGGCCUCGGUGUUGGGGGACGGCACACCAGCCGCCCCCGAAAUGCAGUGGCGACCCCGCCGCAGCCUCCCCUGCGUAGUAGCACACACCUCGCACCGGAGCGCGGAGGCGGUCACGCCGUAAAACGCCCAACUUUCUUAGAGUUGACCUCGGAUCAGGUAGGAAUACCCGCUGAACUUAAGCAUAUCAAUAAGCGGAGGA